AGAGUUUGAUCCUGGCUCAGAAUGAACGCUGGCGGCGCGCCUAAUACAUGCAAGUCGAGCGAGAAGACGUAGCAAUACGUUUGUAAAGCGGCGAACGGGUGAGGAAUACAUGGGUAACCUACCCUAGAGUGGGGAAUAACUAGCCGAAAGGUUAGCUAAUACCGCGUACGCUCCCUGGACUUCGGUUCAGGGGGGAAAGCGCUACCGAGGGUAGCGCGCUCUUGGAUGGGCUCAUGUCCUAUCAGCUUGUUGGUGAGGUAACGGCUCACCAAGGCUUCGACGGGUAGCUGGUCUGAGAGGACGAUCAGCCACACUGGCACUGCGACACGGGCCAGACUCCUACGGGAGGCAGCAGUAAGGAAUAUUGCGCAAUGGGCGAAAGCCUGACGCAGCGACGCCGCGUGGGGGAUGAAGGUCUUCGGAUUGUAAACCCCUUUCGGGAGGGAAGAUGGAGUGGGGUAACCCACUCGGACGGUACCUCCAGAAGCAGCCACGGCUAACUUCGUGCCAGCAGCCGCGGUAAUACGAAGGUGGCAAGCGUUAUUCGGAUUUACUGGGCGUACAGGGAGCGUAGGCGGUUCGGUAAGCCCUCUGUGAAAUCUUCAGGCUUAACCUGGAAAAGUCGGAGGGGACUGCCGGGCUAGAGGACGGGAGAGGAGCGCGGAAUUCCCGGUGUAGCGGUGAAAUGCGUAGAGAUCGGGAGGAAGGCCGGUGGCGAAG
rnacentral:rRNA from 1 species